AAAAUGCGAUACUUGGUGUGAAUUGCAGAAUCCCGUGAACCAUCGAGUUUUUGAACGCAAGUUGCGCCCGAAGCCUUUUGGCCGAGGGCACGUCUGCCUGGGCGUCACGCAUCGCGUCGCCCCCCACAAUUCUCUGUAAAGGGAACUCGUGUUUUGGGGGCGGAUAUUGGUCUCCCGUGCUCAUGGCGUGGUUGGCCGAAAUAGGAGUCCCUCAGUGAAACCACCGUUGCGACCCCAGAUCAGGCGGGACUACCCGCUGAGUUUAA
rnacentral:misc_RNA from 1 species